AUUAUGAGGGUCUCCAUCAGUUUCUAUUAUUAUGAGGGUCUCCAUCAGUUUCUAUUAUGAGGGUCUCCAUCACAUUCUAUUAUUAUGAGGGUCUCCAUCACAUUCUAUUAUUAUGAGGGUCUCCAUCAGUUUCUAUUAUUAUGAGGGUCUCCAUCAGGUUUUAUUAUUAUGAGGGUCUCCAUCAGAUUCUAUUAUUAUGAGGGUCUCCAUCACAUUCUAUUAUUAUGAGGGUCUCCAUCACAUUCUAUUAUUAUGAGGGUCUCCAUCAGUUUCUAUUAUUAUGAGGGUCUCCAUCAGGUUUUAUUAUUAUGAGGGUCUCCAUCAGGUUUUAUUAUUAUGAGGGUCUCCAUCACAUUCUAUUAUUAUGAGGGUCUCCAUCACAUUCUAUUAUUAUGAGGGUCUCCAUCACAUUCUAUUAUUAUGAGGGUCUCCAUCAAUUCUAUUAUUAUGAGGGUCUCCAUCACAUUCUAUUAUUAUGAGGUCUCCAUCACAUUCUAUUAUUAGAGGGUCUCCAUCACAUUCUAUUAUUAGAGGGUCUCCAUCACAUUCUAUUAUUAGAGGGUCUCCAUCACAUUCUAUUAUUAUGAGGGUCUCCAUCACAUUCUAUUAUUAUGAGGGUCUCCAUCACAUUCUAUUAUUAUGAGGGUCUCCAUCACAUUCUAUUAUUAUGAGGGUCUCCAUCAGUAACCCGGUGCACCACCAGACUGGAUAUCGGGCUCCCGGAUUGCAUGGGAGAGCUCUAAAAGGUGCCAUCGGGAGGAGGGGGGAGGGGGGAAAGUCCGUCCCCUCCCACUGCCUGUAAAAACCAUCCAGCAGCUAAUCAGCCGCUAGGAUGUCUUUUACACCCCAGGCUGAAAGAAAAGAUCCCGGGAUGAAGCCUGUAGCUCCACCCAUCAUCCCGGUAUAACCGCUGAAAGUCCAGGACGUCCACCCGUCAGGAAGGGGUUAAAGAGGAACUCCUCCCUUAUUAUAAAUAAGACAAAACAAAGCCUCUGGAGACGUGAUUAGUAAUGGUUUCUAUUUUUUUUCUCUUCAGUCGUAUCACAGCGGCCAUUUUUACUCCUGGAACAUGUGACAGGAAGUUCCCAGGAUGCGUCUCAUGAGGGCGGAGUGACGACACUCAGAAUACCAGAAACUGCUCCAUCGUUCCUCCAUUCUGCACAGGUGUCUGUGAUUGUUACAGGUGACGGUGCCUCAAUUCCAUACCUUCCAAUGAAAUCUCGGGGCAUCACAUAGUCGCGGGCCAAUCCGGCUGGAUCAGGGAACUCUCUCUGGGCUCCAUCGUUCCUCCAUUCUGCACAGGUGUCUGUGAUUGUUACAGGUGACGGUGCCUCAAUUCCAUACCUUCCAAUGAAAUCUCGGGGCAUCACAUAGUCGCGGGCCAAUCCGGCUGGAUCAGGGAACUCUCUCUGGGGGGACGUGGAGACGUCGGGAGAUCAGAAACGAGCGAUUCCUACAAGACGCCAUCGGAAAUUAGAGGUGGGAUUCCGAUCUCAAUGAUGGAGCUUCACAGAACUUACACCCAUUUUCCGAAUAUUUCAUUUCCACUCCAGGGCUGAACAACCUUUCUUAUAAGUUGUAGCGAGUUCUCCGUAGCAGCAGGAUCCGGCGGCGGUGCGUCCAUAAAGGGCGCAGGAGCUCCGCCCCCUCUCUCCUGUCACCACUCUAAUCCCCAUAGAUAGAUUGGUGCAUUGCAUGAAUCUCUCUAUGGUCGCUGCUGACACCCCCUAUUCAGGUGUCCGGCCCCUUUUCGGGCGCCGGGCACCUAAAUUACAGCGGCGGGGUGUUCUUUGGAAGCUCCUGAUUGGAGACGUCGGCUCUAAUAGGCAUCCAGAAAUGUGAGAAGCGUGCGCCACACUGCGCGUUUCGCUUCUCACUCAGCUGUGUGGUAGCAAAACAAAGGAAUUCGCUUUGCUAACAUUAAACGCCCUUUCAGCCAAUCGGGUGCGCCGGGUCUGUGUUACCUGU